AAAGUCGUAACAAGGUUUCCGUAGGUGAACCUGCGGAAGGAUCAUUAACACUUUAUCCUUUAUUAACAACUGUGAACAUGUUUCUCUACCUAUCAAGUAGACCGUCAGUGCUUAGUGUAUGGUGGGAGUAGCCUUACAGCUACUAGCUAACUCUGACUAGAGGCCUUCGAGCUUCAGGUUGAACUGAUAGGCUUUUUUUACAACUAUCACCAUGGUUUAUAACCAUAACCCAUAUAACAAUAAUUGAACUAAUCUAUGUUUCGCUAGCAGAAAUGCUAGUAGAAUCAAGUUAUACGAAACUAAGAACAACUCUUAGCAAUGGAUAUCUUGGUUCCC
rnacentral:misc_RNA from 1 species